CUUUUAAACGUCACUGCUGUCAGCGCGGGAGAUGUGAGUGAGUGUGGCGCUGAAUACUGAGAAUUACCGCCAAGCUAAAGCUAUCAUCAUGCCAUGUGAAAGGAAGCCCAUGCGUUACGGUCACUCAGAAGGCCACACUGAUGUCUGCUUUGACGAUGAGGGAAAGUGUAUUGUGACCUGUGGGAGUGACGGUGAUGUCCGCAUUUGGGAAAGUCUAGAUGAUGACGAUCCCAAGUCCAUAAAUGUUGGAGAGAAGGUCUAUUCUGUAGCC